rnacentral:rRNA from 1 species
UCAGGAUGAACGCUGGCGGCGUGCCUAAUACAUGCAAGUCGAACGAACUUCCGUUAAUUGAUUAUGACGUGCUUGCACUGAAUGAGAUUUUAACACGAAGUGAGUGGCGGACGGGUGAGUAACACGUGGGUAACCUGCCCAGAAGCAGGGGAUAACACCUGGAAACAGAUGCUAAUACCGUAUAACAGAGAAAACCGCCUGGUUUUCUUUUAAAAGAUGGCUCUGCUAUCACUUCUGGAUGGACCCGCGGCGCAUUAGCUAGUUGGUGAGGUAACGGCUCACCAAGGCGAUGAUGCGUAGCCGACCUGAGAGGGUAAUCGGCCACAUUGGGACUGAGACACGGCCCAGACUCCUACGGGAGGCAGCAGUAGGGAAUCUUCCACAAUGGACGCAAGUCUGAUGGAGCAACGCCGCGUGAGUGAAGAAGGGUUUCGGCUCGUAAAGCUCUGUUGUUAAAGAAGAACGUGGGUGAGAGUAACUGUUCACCCAGUGACGGUAUUUAACCAGAAAGCCACGGCUAACUACGUGCCAGCAGCCGCGGUAAUACGUAGGUGGCAAGCGUUAUCCGGAUUUAUUGGGCGUAAAGCGAGCGCAGGCGGUCUUUUAAGUCUAAUGUGAAAGCCUUCGGCUCAACCGAAGAAGUGCAUUGGAAACUGGGAGACUUGAGUGCAGAAGAGGACAGUGGAACUCCAUGUGUAGCGGUGAAAUGCGUAGAUAUAUGGAAGAACACCAGUGGCGAAGGCGGCUGUCUGGUCUGUAACUGACGCUGAGGCUCGAAAGCAUGGGUAGCGAACAGGAUUAGAUACCCUGGUAGUCCAUGCCGUAAACGAUGAUUACUAAGUGUUGGAGGGUUUCCGCCCUUCAGUGCUGCAGCUAACGCAUUAAGUAAUCCGCCUGGGGAGUACGACCGCAAGGUUGAAACUCAAAAGAAUUGACGGGGGCCCGCACAAGCGGUGGAGCAUGUGGUUUAAUUCGAAGCUACGCGAAGAACCUUACCAGGUCUUGACAUCUUCUGCCAACCUAAGAGAUUAGGCGUUCCCUUCGGGGACAGAAUGACAGGUGGUGCAUGGUUGUCGUCAGCUCGUGUCGUGAGAUGUUGGGUUAAGUCCCGCAACGAGCGCAACCCUUAUUACUAGUUGCCAGCAUUCAGUUGGGCACUCUAGUGAGACUGCCGGUGACAACCGGAGGAAGGGGGGACGACUUCAAUCAUCAUGCCCCUUAUGACUGGGGCUACAACGUGCUACAUGGAUGG